rnacentral:rRNA from 1 species
UACGGGGGGUGCAAGCGUUGUUCGGAUUUACUGGGCGUAAAGGGCGCGUAGGCGGCCAGCACAGUUCAGUUGUGAAAUCUCCGGGCUUAACUCGGAAAGGUCAACUGAUACUGUGCGGCUAGAGUGCAGAAGGGGCAACUGGAAUUCUCGGUGUAGCGGUGAAAUGCGUAGAUAUCGAGAGGAACACCUGCGGCGAAGGCGGGUUGCUGGGCUGACACUGACGCUGAUGCGCGAAAGCCAGGGGAGCGAACGGG